rfam:Fomitopsis pinicola FP-58527 SS1 unplaced genomic scaffold FOMPIscaffold_2, whole genome shotgun sequence.
GGACCCUUAGCUCAGCGGUAGAGCAUCUGAUUCCAGCUUGUACUUGCUUAUGUAAGCAACCAAAUUUGUAUAUUUGGAAACCUGGGCACAGCAUCCAGAAGGUCGUCCGUUCAAUCCGGGCAGGGUUCA